GGAGCUUUCCCUUUCCUCCUCCCGUGAUAGAGCGUGUAUAUGCUAGGACUCUCUUUUGUAUUAUUUGAGUGACUGCAGGUAUUGGUGACUGUGUGUGUGUGUGUGUGUGUGUGUCUAGAAGUGUGUGUGUUGGAGAGUAAAAGAGAUAAAAAGAGAGAGGGAGAGAGGCGAGCAGCGUUUCUUCUCCCCCUUCUAGCUUCCCCAUUUCCCUGCUCCCUGUCACUCCGUCCUUCCUCCCUUCCCGGACCACCCUGCCUCGAGCUGGAUAAGACCCCGGACCUCCCCAGGACCCUCCUCCCCUCACCCCUUUGACUCUCCUCACUUCUCCGACCCGCCUUGUCAACAGAGCAGCUUUCAAGUUCUCUAGCAGUUCCUGUCAGCGUUAGGGAUGUUUUAAAAGUGGAAGGUGAGGGAGAUGAAAUCUG
ensembl:lncRNA